UAACUAUAACGGUCCUAAGGUAGCGAAAUUCCUUGUCGGGUAAGUUCCGACCUGCACGAAUGGCGUAACGAUGGCGGCGCUGUCUCCACCCGAGACUCAGUGAAAUUGAAAUCGCUGUGAAGAUGCAGUGUAUCCGCGGCUAGACGGAAAGACCCCGUGAACCUUUACUAUAGCUUUGCACUGGACUUUGAAUUUGCUUGUGUAGGAUAGGUGGGAGGCUUUGAAGCGUGAACGCCAGUUUGCGUGGAGCCAACCUUGAAAUACCACCCUGGCAACUUUGAGGUUCUAACUCAGGUCCGUUAUCCGGAUCGAGGACAGUGUAUGGUGGGUAGUUUGACUGGGGCGGUCUCCUCCUAAAGAGUAACGGAGGAGUACGAAGGUGCGCUCAGACCGGUCGGAAAUCGGUCGUAGAGUAUAAAGGCAAAAGCGCGCUUGACUGCGAGACAGACACGU
rnacentral:rRNA from 1 species